rnacentral:rRNA from 2 species
UCGUACAGGUUUCCGUAGGUGAACCUGCGGAAGGAUCAUUA